rnacentral:rRNA from 1 species
UAGGAGAAUCCGAUGUUGAUGGUCUGGCUGUCGACUUCUAUUCUCAACACUUAGAAAACGCUUCAGGCUUCCGGGCCGUAAAAGCGUAGGUUCUUUCUCGUGCCAUACACUCUAACGUGUGGACUCUCUGGUGUGUUUUCUGACAGGCUGGGUGGAGGAAACACCCGUCUGUACGGACACGAACGAUCUCUUAUUUCCCGCAUUCGUGUGGGAUUCGUUUAUCUCAUCAGAGUAGUCCAGGCUCUGCCACACUUGUCGGGUGUCCUGCUAGCCACGCACAGAGCGGUUGGAACUAGCCUUGGAGCUUUUGGCCGAGGAAGGACAAUGUGUUAUCCUUUAGCCCGUUGAAGGGCGAAAGGGAAUCCGGUCAACAUUCCGGAACCCGGCUGCGUAAACCGCUCUCUGUUGGCGUCAGCCGGCGAGCGCUUUGUUGGGGUAACCCAAGCUGUCCCGGAGACUCUGGCGGGGGGUCUGGGAAGAGUUUUCUUUUCUUUUUAAGCGUUCGUGGACCCUGGAAUUCUAUAGCAGAGAGAUAGGGUUUGGAACGCGAAAAACAUCGCAGUUGCGGCGGUGACCGGACUUCCCCCCCGGACCUUGAAAAUCUGGGUGAGAGCGAUGCGGUGAUCGCGCCGGUUCGUAUCCAUAUCCGCAUCUGGUCUCCAAGGUUCAAAGCCUCUUGUCGAUAGAAUAAUGUAGGUAAGGGAAGUCGGCAAAUUGGAUCCGUAACUUCGGGACAAGGAUUGGCUCUGAGGAUCGGGGCGUGUCGGGCUUGGUCGGGAAGCGGGUCAGUGCCAACGUGCCGGGCCUGGGCGAGGGUCGUUGUGGUUUCCUUGGCAGCAAUGCCUUUGUUACCCACGAUCCGAACUCGGUCCCGUGCCACUUGGCCUCCCGCGGAUCUUCCUUGCUGCGGGUUUUCGACCAAGCAGACCAGGCUGGGCCGCUUCAGGCCCGCCGGGACGGCUUCGAAUCAAUCCCUUCGGCCGCCAUUCAACGGUCAACUCAGAACUGGCACGGACAAGGAGAAUCCGACUGCCUAAUUAAAGCAAAGCAUUGCGAGGGCUCUAGCCGAGUGCUUACGCAAUGUGAUUUCUGCCCAGUGCUCUGAAUGUCAACGUGUAGAAAUUCAAGCAAGCGCGGGUAAACGGCGGGAGUAACUAUGACUCUCUUAAGGUAGCCAAAUGCCUCGUCAUCCAAUUAGUGACGCGCAUGAAUGGAUUAACGAGAUUCUCACUGUCCCUAUCUACUAUCUAGCGAAACCACAGCCAAGGGAACGGGCUUGGAAACAUUAGCGGGGAAAGAAGACCCUGUUGAGCUUGACUCUAGUCUGGCACUGUAAGGAGACAUGAGAGGUGUAGCAUAAGUGGGAGAAGGUGUGGCUUCUUGCCUGUCCGUCGACGGUGAAAUACCACUACUUUCAUCGUUUCUUUACUUACUCGGAUAGGCGGAGAGCGUGUCCGUCGAGGGCUCAGCCCACGCGGACCGGUAUUCUCGCGCCAAGCGUCCGGGUUGCCGGCAAGCGCCCGUCAGGCUUGGGUUCGUGCGUGUCUUCGACCUGUCACCGCAAGGUGGCUUGUCACCGACCCACGGCCUUCGCCUCGAUUGGGCGCCGUCGACCGGCAAACACUCCCACGCGUGAUCCGAUUCGAGGACACAGCCA